CCUACGGGAGGCAGCAGUGGGGAAUAUUGCGCAAUGGGGGAAACCCUGACGCAGCAACGCCGCGUGAGUGAGGAAGGACUUCGGUCUGUAAAGCUCUGUUAAUGAGGAAAAAUGGUAGUUGGUCUAAUAGGCCGAUUAUUUGAUGGUACUCAUAGAGGAAGCACCGGCUAACUUCGUGCCAGCAGCCGCGGUAAUACGAAGGGUGCAAGCGUUGUUCGGAUUUAUUGGGCGUAAAGCGCGCGUAGGCGGACCUGCAAGUCAGAUGUGAAAUCUCGAGGCUCAACCUCGAAACUGCGUCUGAAACUACAGGUCUAGAAUCUCGGAGGGGGAAGGGGAAUUUCGCAUGUAGGGGUAAAAUCCGUAGAUAUGCGAAGGAACACCAGAGGCGAAGGCGCCUUCCUGGACGAGUAUUGACGCUGAGGCGCGAAAGCGUGGGGAUCAAACAGGAUUAGAUACCCUGGUAGUCCACGCUGUAAACGAUGAACACUAGGUAUUGGAGGAUUUGACCCCUUCAGUGCCGUAGCUAACGCGUUAAGUGUUCCGCCUGGGAAGUACGGUGCAAGACUAAAACUCAAAGGAAUUGACGG
rnacentral:rRNA from 1 species